rnacentral:tRNA from 1 species
GGGCCGUUAGCUCAGUUGGAUAGAGCAGGUACCUUCUAAGUACCAGGUCGCGAGUCCGAGCCUCGCACGGCCCG